rnacentral:lncRNA from 1 species
CAGAGAUCUGAUUCAGCAGAGACCUGGGAUGUUUCCUGAUAAAUUUCCAUCAUUCGGAUUUCCAUGUUGUAUUUAGAGCCUGGUCUCCUGAUUAUUGGUCUAGUUUACAUAAUACCAUAAGUACAAAAUGGAGUACUCUUUUGAAAUGAGAAGAACUGCAGUAAUGAAGGAGGAAUAAGGAAAUGAAACGAAACAUUGAGGGACAGCUUUCUUUUCCUGUGGUGUUUGACAAAGGAUCUGCCAGCGCUUAGUGAGGGCUGCAAAAAUCAGUUCCUGCUGCCUGAAGGAGCCUGUGCUUCUGGUGAGGUGAGAGCACAGCUCGGAGUCAUCUGUUACACCAAUGAGGAGAAGCACGCACUUCAGGAGAAAAGCAGAUGAAGAGGGUUUUCUUUCCACUCCAGUAACUCACAGCAGAUUCUUGUCUAUCCAUGUGUUGGACAGCUGAGAAUACAGCAAGCUGUUGAGUAAGAGGUUCAGAUAUUCAAGGAGGCCAAACUCUUAAAAUAUCAACAGAAGCAUAUCUUAAUUUUCUUAAAUUAUCUGAGGGCUGUGGAAAAAGGAGGCAGGGAAGAAAAGAGGGAUUUCCAGGAAUCUCAAAUAAUGUUGGU